rnacentral:rRNA from 1 species
CGGAUGAACGCUAGCGGCAGGCUUAACACAUGCAAGUCGAGGGGCAGCGCGACGUAGCAAUACGUUGGCGGCGACCGGCGGAAGGGUGCGUAACGCGUGAGCAACUUGCCCGUGACAGGGGGAUAACCGGUGGAAACGCCGCCUAACACCCCGUAACAGCAUCGCCCGCAUGGGCGGUGUUUGAAAUCCGAGGAGGUCACGGAUGGGCUCGCGUGGCAUUAGCCAGUUGGCGGGGUAACGGCCCACCAAAGCGACGAUGCCUAGGGGUUCUGAGAGGAAGGUCCCCCACACUGGAACUGAGACACGGUCCAGACUCCUACGGGAGGCAGCAGUGAGGAAUAUUGGACAAUGGAGGAAACUCUGAUCCAGCCAUGCCGCGUGAAGGAAGUAGGCCCUAUGGGUCGUGAACUUCUUUUGUCGCAGAGCAAUAAGGGCCACGCGUGGUCCGAUGAGAGUAUGCGACGAAUAAGCAUCGGCUAACUCCGUG